UACGUAGGGGGCGAGCGUUGUCCGAAUUUACAGGGCGUAGAGCGCGCGUAGGCGGACUUUUAAGUUGGGGGUGAAGUUCCGAGGCUCAACUUCGGAACUGCCUUCAAAACUGGAAGUCUUGAGGUAUGGAGAGGGAAGUGGAAUUCCUGGUGUAGCGGUGAAAUGCGUAGAUAUCAGGAGGAACACCCGUGGCGAAGGCGGCUUCCUGGCCAUAUCCUGACGCUGAGGUGCGAAAGCUAGGGGAG
rnacentral:rRNA from 1 species